GACGAACGCUGGCGGCGUGCUUAACACAUGCAAGUCGAACGGAACGGCCCUGCUUUUGUGGGGUGCUCGAGUGGCGAACGGGUGAGUAACACGUGAGUAACCUGCCCUUGACUUUGGGAUAACUUCAGGAAACUGGGGCUAAUACCGGAUAGGAGCUCCUGCUGCAUGGUGGGGUUGGAAAGUUUCGGCGGUUGGGGAUGGACUCGCGGCUUAUCAGCUUGUUGGUGGGGUAGUGGCUUACCAAGGCUUUGACGGGUAGCCGGCCUGAGAGGGUGACCGGCCACAUUGGGACUGAGAUACGGCCCAGACUCCUACGGGAGGCAGAAGUGGGGAAUAUUGCACAAUGGGCGGAAGCCUGAUGCAGCAACGCCGCGUGCGGGAUGACGGCCUUCGGGUUGUAAACCGCUUUCGCCUGUGACGAAGCGUGAGUGACGGUAAUGGGUAAAGAAGCACCGGCUAACUACGUG
rnacentral:rRNA from 1 species